rnacentral:rRNA from 1 species
GACGAACGCUGGCGGCGUGCUUAACACAUGCAAGUCGAACGGAAAGGCCCUGCUUUUGUGGGGUGCUCGAGUGGCGAACGGGUGCGUAACACGUGAGUAACCUGCCCUUGACUUUGGGAUAACUUCAGGAAACUGGGGCUAAUACCGGAUAGGAGCUCCUGCUGCAUGGUGGGGGUUGGAAAGUUUCGGCGGUUGGGGAUGGACUCGCGGCUUAUCAGCUUGUUGGUGGGGUAGUGGCUUACCAAGGCUUCGACGGGUAGCCGGCCUGAGAGGGUGACCGGCCACAUUGGGACUGAGGUACGGCCCAGACUCCUACGGGAGGCAGCAGUGGGGAAUAUUGCACAAUGGGCGGAAGCCUGAUGCAGCAACGCCGCGUGCGGGAUGACGGCCUUCGGGUUGUAAACCGCUUUCGCCUGUGACGAAGCGUGAGUGACGGUAAUGGGUAAAGAAGCACCGGCUAACUACGUG